rnacentral:lncRNA from 1 species
AAUUUGGGUCUAACCUUUGACUCUUUCUAAUAUAUCUUGAGAUUUUUACUUUUGGAUAGAAAUAGACACAAGUAAAACAUAUUCAUGAAAUUUACAGUAUUUAUUAUUAUAUUAGCUGUUUAGACUAAUUCUAUGAAAACACUUAAAAGGAAACUUUCGAUCAUUCUUGACCUUCAAAAUGAUUAAUUUUGUGCUAGUGAACAAUGUUUACAAGCAUAUGUUUGUGCAACUACAUGACAUGUUUUUCCUUAUAAGCAGCUCCUGAACUAAGUGAGAGAUUCAUUCCUCAUGAAUGAAUUCUCUGGGGAAAGUUGACAAAGAGCAACAAUUUUCAGGGAUUAGGCCUGGAUUGUUUUAUGAGAAGUAAGGGGCCAUCUUGUGUUU